rnacentral:rRNA from 1 species
UACGAAGGGUGCUAGCGUUGCUCGGAAUUACUGGGCGUAAAGCGCACGUAGGCGGGUCGGUAAGUCGGGGGUGAAAUCCUGGAGCUCAACUCCAGAACUGCCUUCGAUACUGAGAGUCUCGAGUCCGAGAGAGGUGAGUGAAACUGCGAGUGUAGAGGUGAAAUUCGUAGAUAUUCGCAAGAACACCAGUGGCGAAGGCGGCUCACUGGCCCGGUACUGACGCUGAGGUGCGAAAGCGUGGGGAGCAAACAGG